rnacentral:rRNA from 1 species
CCGCGGUAAUACGGAGGGGGUUAGCGUUGUUCGGAAUUACUGGGCGUAAAGCGUACGUAGGNNNNNNAAUAAGUUAGAGGUGAAAUCCCAGGGCUCAACCCUGGAACUGCCUUUAAAACUGUUAGUCUUGAGAUCGAGAGAGGUGAGUGGAAUUCCAAGUGUANAGGUGAAAUUCGUAGAUAUUUGGAGGAACACCAGUGGCGAAGGCGGCUCACUGGCUCGAUACUGACGCUGAGGUACGAAAGUGUGGGGAGCAAACAGGAUUAGAUACCCUGGUAGUCCACACCGUAAACNNUNNNNGCCAGACGUCAGCAAGCAUGCUUGUUGGUGUCACACCUAACGGAUUAAGCAUUCCGCCUGGGGAGUACGGUCGCAAGAUUAAAACUCAAAGGAAUU